GGCUGUUGCUGGCUUCCCUGCCAAAGGGGGACAUGUGCACGCCUGUCAUUUUUGUUUUUCCACCUGUGCACACUUUGUAGAAUCCUAGGGAAGCAAUUGUCUGAGAAAAUCAGAUAGGUUGAGGACUGCUGUGCCUUUCAAAUGGGCCCAGCUUUGCCUUGUGUAUCUAGGUUCUAUGUUAUUCACAUACACCUAUGAAUGUAACAGAAUGUUGAUCUGGGUCUUUUAGCACCUAUAAAAGUUAUAUACAACUUUCAGCAACGGAUCUCUUGGCUCUCGCAUCGAUGAAGAACGCAGCGAAAUGCGAUAAGUAAUGUGAAUUGCAGAAUUCAGUGAAUCAUCGAAUCUUUGAACGCAUCUUGCGCUCCUUGGUAUUCCGAGGAGCAUGCCUGUUUGAGUGUCAUUAAAUUCUCAACUACACUGAUACUUGUUGGUGUAGGUUGGAUUUGGGGGGAUUUUGCGGGCUUUUUAAAAUGAAGUCAGCUCCCCUGAAAUUGAUUAGUGGUACCUUAGUAGAUCUGUCUACAGGUGUGAUAAUUUAUCUACGCCUUAGAUGUCUGCACAAAAAGGUUAUGCUGCUUCUUAACCUCACUAAUGAUAAUCUUGACCUCAAAUCAGGUAGGACUACCCGCUGAACUUAAGCAUAUCAAUAA
rnacentral:rRNA from 1 species